UGUCAGGCUGAUGAGCCCGCAGUGAUCCCUGUCCAACAUGUCAACCUGCUGACGUCAGCAGCAAGCCGCGGCGGGGCUGUCCGUGCAGAUGCCUGAUUGGGUUCGCCGUAACUUCAUCAUAUUUUGAUUUCCUGGAUGUUACGGCCCGAUUCUGAUGAUAACGGGCUUCUCUGUCAGCAGUCAGCAUAAAAUGCUCCGCAGCGUCUGGCGUUCCCUCCCAGUUAUCGACCAGUGGAUCUGAUCACAGCGGCGAGGCUGGAGGGCCGACGGCGGCCUCGUGACGCGCAGGGCGCCGCUCGCCGUCAGCUGGAGGUUAAACCGACUGGAGAUCCAGGCAUGAUGGGGAAAUGAUGGAGAUGCUUUAUCUUUUUCUGGUGUAAAAUCAAAGGUUUUCUAGCCAUUUGGAAGUUAUAGAUUGAAAGAGGUUUGUUAAAAAUCAACUAAUUAAUUUCAGUGCCUGAGAAGUUCAAUAUAUUAUGAGAGAGCAGGAAGAAAAGGAUGAGAAAAAAAUUACUUGGAAAUUU